rnacentral:rRNA from 1 species
CGUGGGUAACCUGCCCAAGAGAUCGGGAUAACACCUGGAAACAGAUGCUAAUACCGGAUAACAACAGAUGAUGCCUAUCAACUGUUUAAAAGAUGGUUCUGCUAUCACUCUUGGAUGGACCUGCGGUGCAUUAGCUAGUUGGUAGGGUAACGGCCUACCAAGGCGAUGAUGCAUAGCCGAGUUGAGAGACUGAUCGGCCACAUUGGGACGUGAGACACGGCCCAAACUCCUACGGGAGGCAGUAGAC